UACAGAGGGUGCGAGCGUUGUUCGGAAUCAUUGGGCGUAAAGCGCGUGUAGGCGGUGGUGUAUGUCGGGUGUGAAAUCCCUCGGCUCAACUGAGGAAGUGCGCCCGAAACCACACCGCUAGAGUGCCGGAGAGGGUGGCGGAAUUCCCGGUGUAGAGGUGAAAUUCGUAGAUAUCGGGAGGAACACCAGUGGCGAAGGCGGCCACCUGGACGGACACUGACGCUGAGACGCGAAAGCGUGGGGAG
rnacentral:rRNA from 1 species